rnacentral:lncRNA from 1 species
UGACAUCAACCUCAGUCUCAACUCGUCGAAGCUCCUCUGACAGUCCUCACUCCAAAGGAACCGAAUCCCCUUUCGAGUCAAUCGAGUGAAGCGUGUGGAAAGCUUCGUAAGCCUUCCACAAACUGACGGUAAUAUCCUGCCAGUCCCAGAAAACUCCUCACACUACUAGAAAAUUAGUCAUUAGUGGCAUUUAUUUAUGCUGCUGAAUGAUCAACAAAUGCUGCUAAAAGUUUUAGCAGCAUAUGACACCAAAUGCUGCCUAUGCCAAUGUUGCUAAAAGUAUUAGCAGCAUUAAUUAUAAAUGCCGCCAAUAUAAAUCAAUUAGUGUCAUUAGGGAUAUGCCGCUAAAAGGGAUUAAAUGCUAAUUUAAAUUGUUUAUUAGCGGCACAUAAAUAUAAUGCCGCUAAUACAAAUAUAUGAUUUUAGAAAUUAAAAUUUUAAAAUUUUAAUUUUAUUUAUAUUUAAUUUUUUUGAGAUGCUACCUGCUUCAUUUAUUUUUUUCGUCUUAAACUUUGCUGGAAAUGUGAAUCAACUAGGAUUCGAACUUAGGGCUGGCAAAUGAGCGAGCCGGCUCGCGUUCAACUCGCGUUUGACCCGAUAUUUGGCUCGCUCGAGCUCGACUCGAAAUUAAAUGAGCCGAGCUUGAACAAAAAAAAAGGCUCGAAAUUCAUUUCAAGCCGAGCUUGAGUAUUACUCGGCUCGUUCGAAUUAGGCUCGACAAGCUCGAAAAGCUCGAAUAUAUAUA